UGAUGCCCAGCUUGCUGGGUGGAUUAGUGGCGAACGGGUGAGUAACACGUGAGUAACCUGCCCCUGACUCUGGGAUAAGCGUUGGAAACGACGUCUAAUACUGGAUAUGAUCACUGGCCGCAUGGUCUGGUGGUGGAAAGAUUUUUUGGUUGGGGAUGGACUCGCGGCCUAUCAGCUUGUUGGUGAGGUAAUGGCUCACCAAGGCGACGACGGGUAGCCGGCCUGAGAGGGUGACCGGCCACACUGGGACUGAGACACGGCCCAGACUCCUACGGGAGGCAGCAGUGGGGAAUAUUGCACAAUGGGCGAAAGCCUGAUGCAGCAACGCCGCGUGAGGGAUGACGGCCUUCGGGUUGUAAACCUCUUUUAGUAGGGAAGAAGCGAAAGUGACGGUACCUGCAGAAAAAGCACCGGCUAACUACGUGCCAGCAGCCGCGGUAAUACGUAGGGUGCAAGCGUUGUCCGGAAUUAUUGGGCGUAAAGAGCUCGUAGGCGGUUUGUCGCGUCUGCUGUGAAAUCCCGAGGCUCAACCUCGGGCUUGCAGUGGGUACGGGCAGACUAGAGUGCGGUAGGGGAGAUUGGAAUUCCUGGUGUAGCGGUGGAAUGCGCAGAUAUCAGGAGGAACACCGAUGGCGAAGGCAGAUCUCUGGGCCGUAACUGACGCUGAGGAGCGAAAGCAUGGGGAGCGAACAGGAUUAGAUACCCUGGUAGUCCAUGCCGUAAACGUUGGGCGCUAGAUGUAGGGACCUUUCCACGGUUUCUGUGUCGUAGCUAACGCAUUAAGCGCCCCGCCUGGGGAGUACGGCCGCAAGGCUAAAACUCAAAGGAAUUGACGGGGGCCCGCACAAGCGGCGGAGCAUGCGGAUUAAUUCGAUGCAACGCGAAGAACCUUACCAAGGCUUGACAUACACCGGAAACGGCCAGAGAUGGUCGCCCCCUUGUGGUCGGUGUACAGGUGGUGCAUGGUUGUCGUCAGCUCGUGUCGUGAGAUGUUGGGUUAAGUCCCGCAACGAGCGCAACCCUCGUUCUAUGUUGCCAGCGGGUUAUGCCGGGGACUCAUAGGAGACUGCCGGGGUCAACUCGGAGGAAGGUGGGGAUGACGUCAAAUCAUCAUGCCCCUUAUGUCUUGGGCUUCACGCAUGCUACAAUGGCCGGUACAAAGGGCUGCGAUACCGUAAGGUGGAGCGAAUCCCAAAAAGCCGGUCUCAGUUCGGAUUGAGGUCUGCAACUCGACCUCAUGAAGUCGGAGUCGCUAGUAAUCGCAGAUCAGCAACGCUGCGGUGAAUACGUUCCCGGGCCUUGUACACACCGCCCGUCAAGUCAUGAAAGUCGGUAACACCCGAAGCCGGUGGCCUAACCCU
rnacentral:rRNA from 1 species